AUUGAACGCUGGCGGCAGGCCUAACACAUGCAAGUAGAACGAGUGGCGGACGGGUGAGUAAUGUCUGGGAAACUGCCUGAUGGAGGGGGAUAACUACUGGAAACGGUAGCUAAUACCGCAUACCAUCGGAUGUGCCCCGAUGGGAUUGGCUAGUAGGUGGGGUAACGGCUCACCUAGGCGACGAUCCCUAGCUGGUAUCAGAGGAUGACCAACCACACUGGAACUGAGACACGGUCCAGACUUAUACGGGGGGCAGCAGUGGGUAAUAUUGCACAAUGGGCGCAAUCCGGAUGCAGCAAUGCCGCGUGUAUGAAGAAGGCCUUCGGGUUGUAAAGUACUUUCAGCGGGGAGGCGUUACCCGCAGAAGAAGCACCGGCUAACUCCGUGCCAGCAGCCGCGGUAAUUC
rnacentral:rRNA from 1 species